UGGGGAAUAUUGGACAAUGAGCGAAAGCCUGAUCCAGCCAUGCCGCGUGUGUGAAGAAGGUCUUCGGAUUGUAAAGCACUUUAAGUUGGGAGGAAGGGCAUUAACCUAAUACGUUAGUGUUUUGACGUUACCGACAGAAUAAGCACCGGCUAACUCUGUGCCAGCAGCCGCGGUAAUACAGAGGGUGCAAGCGUUAAUCGGAAUUACUGGGCGUAAAGCGCGCGUAGGUGGUUUGUUAAGUUGGAUGUGAAAUCCCCGGGCUCAACCUGGGAACUGCAUUCAAAACUGACUGACUAGAGUAUGGUAGAGGGUGGUGGAAUUUCCUGUGUAGCGGUGAAAUGCGUAGAUAUAGGAAGGAACACCAGUGGCGAAGGCGACCACCUGGACUAAUACUGACACUGAGGUGCGAAAGCGUGGGGAGCAAACA
rnacentral:rRNA from 1 species